rnacentral:rRNA from 1 species
CCUACGGGUGGCAGCAGUGAGGAAUAUUGGUCAAUGGGCGGGAGCCUGAACCAGCCAAGUCGCGUGAGGGAAGACGGUCCUAUGGAUUGUAAACCUCUUUAGGCGGGGAGCAAUGCAGGGCACGCGUGCCCGGAGGGAGAGUACCCGCAGAAUAAGCAUCGGCUAACUCCGUGCCAGCAGCCGCGGUAAUACGGAGGAUGCGAUCGUUAUCCGGAGUUAUUGGGUUUCAAGGGUGCGUAGGCGGCUUCUUAAGUCCGCGGUAAAAUGUCCGGGCUCAAUCCGGGUCGGCCAUUGAAACUGGGGAUCUUGAGUGGGCGAGAGGUAUGCGGAAUGCGUGGUGUAGCGGUGAAAUGCGUAGAUAUCACGCAGAACUCCAGUUGCGAAGGCGGCAUACCGGCGCCCGACUGACGCUGAGGCACGAAAGCGUGGGGAUCGAACAGGAUUAGAUACCCUGGUAGUC